rnacentral:rRNA from 1 species
UACGGAGGGUGCAAGCGUUGUUCGGAAUUAUUGGGCGUAAAGGACGCGUAGGCGGUAAUGAAAGUCAGGUGUGAAAUACUUUGGCUCAACUGAAGAACUGCAUCUGAAACUUCAUAACUAGAGUACAGAAGAGGGAAACGGAAUUCCCGGUGUAGAGGUGAAAUUCGUAGAUAUCGGGAGGAACACCAGUGGCGAAGGCGGUUUCCUGGUCUGAUACUGACGCUGAGGCGUGAAAGUGUGGGGAGCAAACAGG